UAUCAGUGCAUACAACUACUUUCAGCUUAAGGCCAGAAAUUUUUAAUUGCUUCACGAUCGAAUGCAAGUGCUGACAACGUGGUUACAAGUAAAUAUAUAUAUAAAGGUAAAAUGUUUAUUUCAUAACGAUUGUGCAUGACCGUUUCCGAUUCCUUUUAAGUCUUAAAAAAAAUAUUUAUUGCAAUUGACGGUGUUCUGACCGUUACUUCCCACACACCUGUAUUUACAUUCGUGGAACCCUUGGGCAUCGUUCUUAUCAAGUGAACAUAGAAAGGGAAAAUCUUUCUUACACGGAGAUUGUGCACGAACUAUCCCGCUGUCCGUAGAAACCAUUAAAUGGAAUAUUUACUACACUUGUCAUUUUCCUGACCAGUCUUCCGCACACACCGAUAUUUACUUUCACUGAACUCUCAGGCCUCAUUAUCAUCAUCCGUUAAUUUGUUCGCCAUCCUUGUCUUCCUUAUCCUUCAAUACCAUAUGACUGGCGUCCGGGGCUCCUAUGUAUACUCAAAACCAAUACGAUUGGUUCUAGGAGUAAAACAUACCUGUAUGCACUCCCUAUUGGUAACAUUAGGUGAACAUAGUCUAGAGACUAUAUAAAUGACACCACUCAAAUUGCUCAGAAUCAGUUACUCAAAGGCCUCAGAAAUACAUCACUAUGGAUCUUACUGUUGAAUUUUAUAAUUCUUUUGAGGCUGAUAAGACCCUCGUUAACCAACCUUUCGGUAUAAAAGUUAAAGUUAUCGGGUCAGAUGAAAUCGAUGACCAGGACUCCGAUGUGGAAAUUAUUGAAGAUUCUGAGCCGGACUGCGCAUUGGAUCUCGACGAUGAAGACACCGUGGACCGAUACCUACGAGAAGUAUUUGAUCCACCCUCAUCGUCAACUCAAACCACUCCAUCAGAAUUGGAUUCCUUAGGCUUUGAAGACUUUCCUAUGGGUAAGGAUACCCAGGAAGUUCUAAGAAAACUUAUUCUACUUGAACAAAGCGAAGAGCAAUAUAAGAAUAUGCAGUGUGCUCAAACGUUUGAUUUGGAUGAGUCUGAGCCUAGCCUGUUUCCAAAUGAUGAUCACAUUUUUAAUGAGAUAAUUGAAAAUGAACCGCAGACAAAAUAUCAACAACUUAUGGAUGACGGACAGGAUAGUGUUUUAAUGGAUGUUCUCUUAAGAUUAGAUUCCUAAUAUUUGUUUACUUGUCUUAAAACAUUAUGAAAUAAAAAUACGUUAUAUAUUCAAUAUUUAAAGUUCUUGUUCUUUAUUAGAUAUUUCUCUUUCGUUUUAUUUAUACUUUUUAAUUCAGCAUCGUGCAUAAAUAUCAUGUGCAUAUUAAAAUCGUCUCGCAGCCAAAAUUUCCGAACAUCAGUACAGAAAUAACAGUAGUAAUAAAAGGACUUUGAUUUUGUAUAGCUAAAGUUGUGUACUUUUAAGGUAUGAACUUUUAGACUGUUGCGCGUAGUAAAAGAUUUUGAUUCCGAGCAUAACUCACAAUGAAACUUGCCCAUUUUGAUGUGAAACUGAACUGAGUUUUUUUUAAAAAAAUACAUCUAUUUUAAAGGGUUUUAAAUGAAAAAUUGUAUAUUAUAUACUUUAAUACAUAAUAAUAAUAAUGUUGUGGUACACCUGUAUGUAAUAUAUACAUAUAUAUAGUGUGUACAUGAAAGAGUGAAAUAGAUAUAUUUCUUCAUGUAUAAAAGACCAUGUAAUUCGUGUAACAAAUUAGUAUUCAACGACUAGUGACUAGAACACCACGACUCCAAUCUCUAACCAAUCAAAAAUGGAUUUCUUAGAGACCCUAAAUGAAUCAAAACCUGUUAUUGGUUAUACGAAAAUUGAAGAUCUAUGUAUUGGGUUUGAUUAUAAGAUCACCGGAUGUAAAUUAAGGAAAACACCUUAUGGAACUAAAAUAUGCCUUUAUUUAGCCAAUAAGGAAAAUGAGGAUAUUUGGAUAUUUCUACCAAAAAGUUAUGUAAACAAAUUUUCUACUAAGACACCAUUUAAGAAAUUGACUGAGAACGGAAUUUCUCAUAUGGUAUAUAAAGGAAAGGAUCCCAAUAGAUAUAGCUGUGCUCAAAUUGAAUUUAUCAGUAAAUAAAUGAAGUAAAUAAAUGAAGUAAAUAAGAAAUUCCCCUUAUAAAAGAUUGAAUUUCUUAUUCCAAAAUCAGUCUUAGUUCAACCUUAACAAGUUACAAGUCUUACAAAAAUGCACGCUAAACAAAUUGAAGUCUUCUUGAUGCAGUUUGAAGACAUGUUAUUCGAGCAACACCUCAGGAGGCUUGAAUAUUUAAAAGCCACCCUUGAGGACUUAGCGGAAAAGGAGUUAAUACAUUCAAAGUUUGGAUUCCACUACAAACUUUGUCCUUGGAGUGAUGAAGAUGCUACAUCUGGACCAGACGAGGCCCUUAAUAUUAUGCUUAAAUAUUAUAAGUUAAACCAGAGAUUGUAUCGCUCAGAAACAUUAAAUAAACUCAACUAAUAAUAAAAAAAAA